UUCCAUGGCUAGUUGACUGCAACUGUUAUUAUGGAAGCAAUUGUGGCAUUCCUCUGUGGGAAAGAGACUGUUACAUGAUUGAACACUGCUUUCUUAGCAAAACAGAAAGUGGGCAUAUCUGUGACACACAAGA